ACUCUCUCAAUCCCCCUCCUCCUUCUCGUUGGUUUUCCAAUGAAAUAAUUUAUGUUAAUAAUUAAGCUGAGAGACUACGUGGCAUGACGUAACUAGUAGACGUAGAUAUCUUUUUAAGGCUAAGUAGUUAAAGUUAUAUUAUUCUUACAAAACAUCGUUUUUAUUAUUUAUUUUGCGUAUUAAAUCACUCUUUCGAAAACAUUUUACAAAAAAAAAACUGAAUACCUUAUAAACAUGGAGACUGACUGGCUGCAGCACCAUAAUAGAAUAAUCCUAUUCAUAGUUACUUAGACAAUGAAGAUGAUGUUAAAAUGUUGCGAUGAAUUGUGAUAAAUUGUUUUAAUACUUGAGUAACCAGAAUUGGCGCGUCGUAGGUCACGUGAACAAGUUUGGGAGAUUCAAAUUAAGUUUUACGCACGAGCAUGUUUAGGUAGACUUAGAUACAUCAAAAAUAUGGAAGCACUUUUAUUUGAUUUUUAAAAGGUUUUUGUAAAUUAAAAAAAAAAACUUUCAUCUACAAAUAUUUACGAAUGUAAUAUUCUUGCC